rnacentral:tRNA from 1 species
GGUUCUAUAGUGUAGCGGUUAGCACUCAGGAACUUGAAGCCAGCGACUCGGGUUCGAAUCCCGAUAGAACCU